rnacentral:lncRNA from 1 species
GCCAUGCACACCAGCCUCAUCCUAAGACCCCUGCACAUUCAGGGAGAGGUCACGGGCUCAGAGACAGACAAGGUGAGGAACAGCCCGGGACCUCAAGGAGCCCAGGACUCUGGAAGACAACUGGUCCCUGCACGUGACACCAAGAGAACCAGGGAUGAAGCCAUCUGCAAGCCCUUGGCCACCUGCUGAAAGGGGCAGGUGGGCAUGAACCGAGGUCAGAGGCAGGGGAGGCAUGUUAGCCCUCGGAGAGAACAGGCUCAGCACUCAAGGUUCAGGGAACUUCAGAGGAAAGGCCGGGGCCUUGGACAGCAGGGCACGAGAAUCUCCAGAGUGUAGCCCUGACCCAGCUCCAGCCACAGGCCCUGCAACCCCGGCUCAGCCCCUGCUGCGGCACCUGUGCUCUGACUGUCCCUCCCUCUGCUGCCAAGCCCUCCUCCUCCCCCUGCUCAGGUCCACCUGGCAACCAACUGUCACUCAUCCUGCAAGGCCACGCUCUGUGGGGACACGGACUCUGCCGAUGUGGCUCAUCGCUGCCACCACAGCGAAGGUACCUAUUAAGUGUGUGCUGACCAAACAAACCUGGUCCAUGCCAUGAUCUCUGCAUUCAGGGAGCUCAAAUGUAACAGCCGCCAUCCCCAGGGGCAGUGUCUGAAUGAGAGCCCGGUCCAUGGCACAGAACGAGCAGUCUAGCCAUAGUGACUGAAUGGAGGCAUGGAUUUUGCAUUGUCUCCUCACAGGCACACACAGGACCCUCACCCAGGGGCCCCUGACAUGGCAGCAUGGGCAGCAGCAGAGUAGGGCUUACAGAAGUGCCGGGGCAGGUGAAAUGCCC